GGAUGAACGCUAGCGGCAGGCUUAAUACAUGCAAGUCGAACGAAGUGGUAACACUUAGUGGCGCACGGGUGCAUAACACGUAUGCAACCUACCUAUCGUUGGGGGAUAACUUUGAGAAAUCAGGGCUAAUACCGCAUAAAACAGUUUUACUGCAUAGUAAUACUGUUAAAGUUCUGGCGACGAUAGAUGGGCAUGCGUCCGAUUAGGUAGUUGGCGAGGUAACGGCUCACCAAGCCGACGAUCGGUAGGGGAUCUGAGAGGAUAAUCCCCCACACUGGCACUGAGAUACGGGCCAGACUCCUACGGGAGGCAGCAGUAGGGAAUAUUGGGCAAUGGUCGCAAGACUGACCCAGCCAUGCCGCGUGCAGGAAGAAGGCGCUCAGCGUUGUAAACUGCUUUUAUCAAGGAAGAAAAAGUUCUUGCGAGAACAAUUGACGGUACUUGAAGAAUAAGCCACGGCUAACUACGUGCCAGCAGCCGCGGUAAUACGUAGGUGGCAAGCGUUGUCCGGAUUUAUUGGGUUUAAAGGGUGCGUAGGUGGCUUGGUAAGUCAGCGGUAAAAGACGGCAGCUUAACUGUUAGUGCGCCGUUGAUACUGCCAAGCUUGAGUAAAGUUGA
rnacentral:rRNA from 1 species